AUGAUUACGCCAAUAAGCGCUACGAGGUGCCGGUGCCACUCAACCUCCCAGCACCCCCACGAGUUCCAUCGAGCGCCGCCUCUACGAUGUCAGCGUUCAGACCAAACCUUUCGGGAUCCAGAUCCGCCGCAGGAGCACUGGGACUGUCAUCUGGGACUCGCAGCUGCCCACCUUCACCUUCAGUGACAUGUUCAUCCAGAUCUCCACCCGCCUGCCCUCCUCGUACCUCUAUGGCUUCGGUGAGACUGAGCACACGCAGUACCACCGUGACAUGAACUGGCACACGUGGGGCAUGUUCAGUCGGGACCAACCCCCUGGGUACAAGCUGAAUUCGUACGGUGUCCAGCCAUUCUACAUGGGUCUGGAAGAAGAUGGCAACGCCCAUGGAGUUCUCUUGCUCAACAGCAAUGGAAUG